AUGAACGCUGGCGGCGUGCCUAAUACAUGCAAGUCGAGCGAACAGACGAGGAGCUUGCUCCUCUGACGUUAGCGGCGGACGGGUGAGUAACACGUGGAUAACCUACCUAUAAGUCUGGGAUAACUUCGGGAAACCGGAGCUAAUACCGGAUAAUAUAUUGAACCGCAUGGUUCAAUAGUGAAAGACGGUUUUGCUGUCACUUAUACAUGGAUCCGCGGCGCAUUAGCUAGUUGGUAAGGUAACGGCUUACCAAGGCGAAGAUGCGUAGACGACCUGAGAGGGUGAUCGGCCACACUGGAACUGAGACACGGUCCAGACUCCUACGGGAGGCAGCAGUAGGGAAUCUUACGCAAUGGGCGAAAGCCUGACGGAGCAACGCCGCGUGAGUGAUGAAGGUCUUCGGAUCGUAAAACUCUGUUAUUAGGGAAGAACAAAUGUGUAAGGAACUAUGCACGUCUUGACGGUACCUAAUCAGAAAGCCACGGCUAACUACGUG
rnacentral:rRNA from 1 species